rnacentral:lncRNA from 1 species
AUGUGUAUUUGAGUUAUUACUCUUUCAAUUCGCAUUUCAAUAUAUAAAAAAAAGUAAUGAUAAUUCCUAAAUUUAAAUUUAAUAAAUUUAAUAAAAUACAGGCUUCUUCUGCGUUUCUUCUCUCUGCCUCGCGACAGGGCCAUCGCAUGCCCUCAGUCACCGUGCCGCACCGCAGUAGCAGCGUUGUCGUCUCUGGCGCCAUAUUGCGUUUAUACUAGUUCUCUCUGCCUCGCGACUGGUCCAUCGCUGCCCUGCGAAAACUGGUUUUUCUCUGCCUCGCAACAAGGGCUAGCCACCUACGGUCUCCUGGCCGCACCGCAUCGCCAUAGCAGCUCUAUCUCCUCCACCGCCACAUUGUGAUUCUCCGAGCAGUUUGGAAAGAUUGUAGAUAUUAUGACAAUAUCAGAUAAAUAAAGAAGAUCAAGAAAGGGAAAGAUUGCAAUUCUUUAUUGUGCGCCCCUGAGUUGGAGCGUCGCCGGCGCGUCUAUAACAUCUUGGGCGUGCCGCACUGCCACAAGCUGUUGGAUUCUCUAUAGCAAUGAUUUGCAUUUCCUUGGUAGAUUGGUCUGUUCUAGCAUUGCACGCAAAGACCAGCCGCACUGCUCCAUCGGAAGUCGCCAUGAAUUUUAAGCACAACAGAUUCAGGAGGGCCAGCGACGCUUUUACUCUGAGUGCUUUAAUCCUCUGCCGAAAUUCAAGAAAUUGAAAUUGUGAAAGGGCAACACAUGUGAUGAAUGAAGGCUCUUCCAUAUGUGUGGAGGCGCCAGCUAGAAGUGAGCAUUCGAAAAUCCAGUUGGUGAAAAAAGUGAAUUCAAGGAUGGGUUGGCAGAAUCGUUUAGUGCUGGUAUGGGUCAGCUAAUGGAUUGCACAUCUUGUAAGCCGGUGAAACGCAAGAUUUCAUUAUCGGAUAUUGUUGAGGGUCCUUCUGAGAAAAUGUUUGCAUGGAGGAUUUGACGGAUGAUCUUGUCGAAAUAUCCGAUAAUGAAU